rnacentral:sRNA from 1 species
UGCAUGUUUUGAUACUCGGAAAUGGU